rnacentral:lncRNA from 1 species
CCUUGGGUUCUAUUCUUGCCCUCUUCUUCAUUUUUUUUUUUUUUUUUUUUUUUACAUAAACCUUGUUUCUUUAACUCUGCAGAUAUCCUCAAAGAAUGCAUUUCAGAUCUGCAUAUCUUCUGGCUGAAUCUUCUGACCACACAGCACGUCCUGCGGGUCAGGCGAAAUAUGGAGAAGAUGAAUGGAUUCCUGAUUCUCACUUGGAAUUGUUCAGUUAAGGGAUUAUAUAUUCUGAUCCUUUUUGCUUCUCGGUGUGAUCAUUUGACUAGAUCUGACCAAUGAAAGAAAUUGUCAAUGGAGCCUCUGGUAAGUAUUCUUAAAGGAGAGGUAGCAGUACUUUCUUAUCCUCUUGAUUUACC